rnacentral:rRNA from 1 species
AUUGAACGCUGGCGGCAGGCCUAACACAUGCAAGUCGAGCGGAUGAUGGGAGCUUGCUCCUGGAUUCAGCGGCGGACGGGUGAGUAAUGCCUAGGAAUCUGCCUGGUAGUGGGGGACAACGUUUCGAAAGGAACGCUAAUACCGCAUACGUCCUACGGGAGAAAGCAGGGGACCUUCGGGCCUUGCGCUAUCAGAUGAGCCUAGGUCGGAUUAGCUAGUUGGUGGGGUAAAGGCCUACCAAGGCGACGAUCCGUAACUGGUCUGAGAGGAUGAUCAGUCACACUGGAACUGAGACACGGUCCAGACUCCUACGGGAGGCAGCAGUGGGGAAUAUUGGACAAUGGGCGAAAGCCUGAUCCCGCCAUGCCGCGUGUGUGAAGAAGGUCUUCGGAUUGUAAAGCACUUUAAGUUGGGAGGAAGGGCAGUAAGUUAAUACCUUGCUGUUUUGACGUUACCAACAGAAUAAGCACCGGCUAACUUCGUGCCAGCAGCCGCCGUAAGAC